AGAGUUUGAUCCUGGCUCAGGAUGAACGCUGGCGGCGUUCUUAACACAUGCAAGUCGAACGAAGCACUUUAUUGGAUUUCCUUCGGGGAAGAAGAUGUUGUGACUGAGUGGCGGACGGGUGAGUAACGCGUGGGUAACCUGCCCCAUACAGGGGGAUAACAGCCGGAAACGGCUGCUAAAACCGCAUAAGCGCACAGUACCGCAUGGUACGGUGUGAAAAACUCCGGUGGUAUGGGAUGGACCCGCGUCUGAUUAGCUCGUUGGCAGGGUAACGGCCUACCAAGGCGACGAUCAGUAGCCGACCUGAGAGGGUGACCGGCCACAUUGGGACUGAGACACGGCCCAAACUCCUACGGGAGGCAGCAGUGGGGAAUAUUGCACAAUGGGGGAAACCCUGAUGCAGCGACGCCGCGUGAGCGAAGAAGUAUUUCGGUAUGUAAAGCUCUAUCAGCAGGGAAGAAGAAUGACGGUACCUGACUAAGAAGCACCGGCUAAAUACGUGCCAGCAGCCGCGGUAAUACGUAUGGUGCAAGCGUUAUCCGGAUUUACUGGGUGUAAAGGGAGCGCAGGCGGAAGGCUAAGUCUGAUGUGAAAGCCCAGGGCUCAACCCUGGUACUGCAUUGGAAACUGGUCAUCUAGAGUGUCGGAGGGGUAAGUGGAAUUCCUAGUGUAGCGGUGAAAUGCGUAGAUAUUAGGAGGAACACCAGUGGCGAAGGCGGCUUACUGGACGAUGACUGACGCUGAGGCUCGAAAGCGUGGGGAGCAAACAGGAUUAGAUACCCUGGUAGUCCACGCCGUAA
rnacentral:rRNA from 1 species